GCUCCACGCUGAACUUGUCCCGUGGCAGCUCCACUCCCUGGGCCAGUUUCACCUUCAGCUGCUCCCGGUGGCCCUUAAAGUAAAGGGCAGUCAUCCAAGAAGGGGGCACUCUCGGUAAGGGGGUGCCCCAGCUGUUAAAGGAAGAGUCUGCAUCUGUUUCCUCUCCAAAGUAGUCCUCCGUGGCAACAGCAUCCUCCAGCGUCCCCGCGGACGCCUGGUUGUCUCCGUCUCUGUCAUCUUGCCUCGGUCUGUGGAGGACCCCGUCCGCUGCAGGGAUUUCUGGAGAAACUUUCUCCAACCUGGAGUUGUUGUCUUUCUCGCUGCGAAGUUUGACUUCGAGGCUGCGGGAAACCCUGGAGCGAGAGCCAGGAGAAACUCCCUCCGCGCGCCGGGCAUCUUCACCGGGAUCAACUGGCUCCGUUUCCCGGUGUGCGUAACUGCGUUCAUGAAACCGAUCGGAUAAAUCUGGGUAUCCUAAAUCUUCAGAGUCACCCCUGCCUCCUUCCUCUCUCCCGGCCGGAUCGGCCUCCAGCAGCCCGGUGUCAAACCCGCACCCUACGGGACAAACCUCUGGUGCGCCUUUGAGGGUGAAGGGCGAGAUCCGAGUGGUGGAGGUUCUCACUGGGGCCGCUGGAGGGCGGUGUUGCGCCGGGGAGAGGGCGCGGGGCUGCCGCCGGGACGGAGAGACGAAGCAGGGUUCACCUGCUGCUGUCCUGGACAGCUCAGCGUCUGCGCGCCGGGCCAAGGAGCGCUUAUGCCGGCCGAAGGCAUCGGAGCGAACCGGGCUGAGCAGAAAAGUGUUUGUGAUGAAAACGAGGAAAACAGGCAGUAGUCUGAUCAACAACAUUUUCUCUCCAGGAUAUAAAGGGUAACCUGGUCGAACCGUUUGUAGCGCGUCGGCAGCACAUCAACAAGGUCUCUACAGGCUCAAUUUGCAAACAGGCCCCUGGCUGGAGAUUGAGAUGGCGGAGAAGGCCACUGGCAGUUAUGGUAGGGGCCCCUGAAGGGGCAAAAAACAGUUCCUAAAAACUGGGAGGCAGGAAUUCCUCAAUCCCAGCCUGCCUGACGGAGGGAUCUGCCUGCUACACUUAGUUUUGAAAUCCAGCUGCAACUGUGCUGGGUGGCGCAUAAAGAAGAGACUGCGACAAAAAAAAGGCUUGAAGGGUAAAGUUUAAAAAAGGAAAAGAAGGAAAGAGAUAGAAGGGGGUUCAGGGUCUGAAUAGGUGAGCUGCACUGGGGCCCCACCACCCACUGCAAGGGACCUCCGCAGAUUAUCCUUCAUCCCAGCUUGUCCGUAUGACCUCAACAACCCCGAGGCCUGUUCUCUGUCUUACCCCUUUUCCCUCACUUUCCUUUCGACACAGACACUCACACAAAAACACACGUUUCUCUCGUACCUCUGAGGCCGCUGACCCUCCAGCUCCACCCCGUUGAUACCGCCACACAAAUUCCCCAAAACACGCACACAGGCGCAACCUGGUUUCUCACACAAAAGAGAGGGGGAUCCAGCGGGAGAAAAUCUAGGCUGAUGUGCAGGGCAAACAAGGAGGGGUUUUAAUGAGAAAAAAAAUGUUCAAGAGGGUAGGCUUUUCAGCUACCAAAACUAUUAUAUAAAAGGGCUGCAGCAGACAAAUGCAAUGGGAUGUACAUAGAGCUGCAGGUGCUUGUCUGAAUGCAAUCAGAGACAGUUUCCUGAAUGUGUGGGGCUAUUAAGGCAACAGAGAAUACCUGCUGUAAAAGUCUGAAUUUAAAUGCAAGUUAAGUUUUUUUCCCCCCUACUUUUUUAAAUAAAGUCUCCCCUUGAAUGUUUUCAAAUGAAUCCUUGAGAAAGAUGUGUGCCACGGUGGUCCUUUUCAUAAAAAAAAACCUUUGCUUUUUUCCUGUUACUAAAAAACAGAAAAAGUUCCAUAUUGAUACAUAUAAACCUCUUCCACAAACAAAAACAGGGGAAAAUCCAGGUUGCGCAGGCCUUCACGGAGGACCCCCUUGUUUGUUCACGUUGAGGUAAUGAUGGAAAAACAAGUAAGCCGGCAGGAUGCCGCUAAGGUUUUAUUUGCAGAGCUGCAGGUGGAGGCCUGAAAGACGUGACUCUGUGUUUCUUGGCUCUUUAGCUCACCGGACUUUGUGAAUGAGACCUACCAGCUUGUGCUUUAUCUCAAGGCAGUAAAAAGGUUCCCAUUCUGGAUGUCAAGGUGGAAUAAAACAAACAAAAAAUAGAUUAAGAUUACCUUUAUUUAUUAAUAAGAAUCCUUUUAUUUUUAAAUGUAAUUCUGUAAUGGAUCAGGUAAAUAUAAAAAUAGAUAAUUAAAUAGAAAUGAAAUACCAAAUUUGUUUUGAUAAUUGGGGAGAGAAAGAAAGAAAGAGAGAAAAAGUCUAGAUUCUGUGGGUUUUUUUGUUAUGAUCUGUGCAUCAUCUUAGCUUAAUGCACCCAAUUAGUCUGUUGUUUCCUUUUAGCAACCACAGGUGGUGCUAAGAAGACAUCGGAUUUUCAGCUUAUGAUUCAUAUAAAGGGCUGUUUUGAUGUUCAUUCAGAACUUACAUUUGAGCAUCACUUUUCAGGAAUUCAGUUUAAAGAGCUGUAUCUUUUGAUCAUGGAUCAAAUGCACAAUUUCACUCUUAGUGGACAUUCUUUAGAAUUGAAUGCAUGCAAAAAACAAGACAAAAUGUUGUUUUAUAUCUGUAGUUUAGUUAUUAUGGAUAAUUCAAUAUGCAAAAGAAGGAAGUACAUCACACCAUGUAAAAAAAUGCCAGGACUGAAUCUUUACAUAAAUAAACAAUGUUUGAGUAUAUAUUGGUGGUUAGAUAAAUUCAGUCUGGCAUUACCAUCGUUUUGAAAAGAAAAAUCAUCAUUACUAAAAUAACAAUAAUUAUAAGAAUGAUCAGAAAGAAAAGAAUGUUUCUCUUUGCUGUCAUUUUUUUUAGGUUCCCCUUAGAAUGAAAUAAAAAGAAAAGAAAAGUUUGGUGCUUUGGAAUAAACAAUAAAAGAGAAUAAAAUGUCACUCAUAUAAUAGAUUAGGGAAGAAAAUAAAAGAAAAAAUCCAUCUGAAAAACACUAAUAUCAAUGCAAAACCACUGGUGUUACCUGGGUUGUCUUCCCUGGUCAAAAUAAAAAAAAAAGUCCCUUUUAACCUUUUCUUUUAUAGGGUAAUUCAGAAGCAUAUUACAUCCAAGCUUAUUAACCAUAUAAAGAGGUAAAGAUGAACUGUUAAAAAAUCCUCUCUUCUUUAAACAGUGUCUCAAAAAACUAUUUUAGAGAAAAAUAUUGUAAAAAAAAUCCAAGUUUAAACCAAAGCAUGCAACCAUGAAACUCUAGAAAACUCUGGAAACUCUUUUUGAGUGCAGAGGACACUCCUAAAGAGCUUCUAUGACUCUGUUGUGGCAUCAGCCAUCUUCUUUGGGGCUGUCUGUUGGAGCAGUGGCUUAUGUGUAGCUGAGAGAAAGCGACUGGAUAAGCUGAUCAGAAA